rnacentral:rRNA from 1 species
AGAGUUUGAUCAUGGCUCAGAACGAACGCUGGCGGCGUGCUUAACACAUGCAAGUCGAGUGCGCGUCUGUAGCAAUACAGAUGGCGCACGGCGCACGGGUGCGUAACACGUGGGCAAUCUGCCCUUCGAUGGGGAAUAACUCCGGGAAACCGAAGCUAAUUCCGCAUAACAUUCCUUGGACUUCGGUUCGAGGAUUCAAAGCCGUAAGGCGUCGAAGGAGGAGCCCGCGCCCGAUUAGCUAGUUGGUGAGGUAACGGCUCACCAAGGCAAUGAUCGGUAGCUGGUCUGAGAGGAUGGCCAGCCACACUGGAACUGAGACACGGUCCAGACUCCUACGGGAGGCAGCAGUGGGGAAUCUUGCGCAAUGGGCGAAAGCCUGACGCAGCGACGCCGCGUGGGGGAUGAAGCAUUUCGGUGUGUAAACCCCUUUCGACUGGGACGAAUGCCUCGCAAGAGGAGUGACGGUACCAGUAGAAGAAGCCCCGGCUAACUACGUGCCAGCAGCCGCGGUAAGACGUAGGGGGCCAGCGUUGUUCGGAAUUACUGGGUGUAAAGGGUUCGUAGGCGGUGUGGCAAGUCGGGAGUGAAAUUUAUGGGCUUAACUCAUAGGCUGCUUCCGAAACUGCUGUGCUUGAGUGUGGGAGAGGCGCGUGGAAUUGCAGGUGUAGCGGUGAAAUGCGUAGAUAUCUGCAGGAACACCCGUGGCGAAAGCGGCGCGCUGGACCACAACUGACGCUGAGGAACGAAAGCUAGGGGAGCAAACAGGAUUAGAUACCCUGGUAGUCCUAGCCCUAAACGAUCAGGACUUGGGGUGCCACCCGUUCGGGUGUCGUCCCGGAGCUAACGCGUUAAGUCCUGCACCUGGGGAGUACGGUCGCAAGACUGAAACUCAAGGAAUUGACGGGGGCCCGCACAAGCGGUGGAACAUGUGGUUCAAUUCGACGCUACGCGAGGAACCUUACCUGGGCUCGAAGCGCACCUGACCAGCUGUGGAAACACGG